CGAACGAACUUCCGUUAAUUGAUUAUGACGUACUUGUACUGAUUGAGAUUUUAACACGAAGUGAGUGGCGAACGGGUGAGUAACACGUGGGUAACCUGCCCAGAAGUAGGGGAUAACACCUGGAAACAGAUGCUAAUACCGUAUAACAGAGAAAACCGCAUGGUUUUCUUUUAAAAGAUGGCUCUGCUAUCACUUCUGGAUGGACCCGCGGCGUAUUAGCUAGUUGGUGAGGUAAAGGCUCACCAACGCAGUGAUACGUAGCCGACCUGAGAGGGUAAUCGGCCACAUUGGGACUGAGACACGGCCCAGACUCCUACGGGAGGCAGCAGUAGGGAAUCUUCCACAAUGGACGCAAGUCUGAUGGAGCAACGCCGCGUGAGUGAAGAAGGGUUUCGGCUCGUAAAGCUCUGUUGUUAAAGAAGAACGUGGGUAAGAGUAACUGUUUACCCAGUGACGGUAUUUAACCAGAAAGCCACGGCUAACUACGUGCCAGCAGCCGCGGUAAUACGUAGGUGGCAAGCGUUAUCCGGAUUUAUUGGGCGUAAAGCGAGCGCAGGCGGUCUUUUAAGUCUAAUGUGAAAGCCUUCGGCUCAACCGAAGAAGUGCAUUGGAAACUGGGAGACUUGAGUGCAGAAGAGGACAGUGGAACUCCAUGUGUAGCGGUGAAAUGCGUAGAUAUAUGGAAGAACACCAGUGGCGAAGGCGGCUGUCUGGUCUGCAACUGACGCUGAGGCUCGAAAGCAUGGGUAGCGAACAGGAUUAGAUACCCUGGUAGUCCAUGCCGUAAACGAUGAUUACUAAGUGUUGGAGGGUUUCCGCCCUUCAGUGCUGCAGCUAACGCAUUAAGUAAUCCGCCUGGGGAGUACGACCGCAAGGUUGAAACUCAAAAGAAUUGACGGGGGCCCGCACAAGCGGUGGAGCAUGUGGUUUAAUUCGAAGCUACGCGAAGAACCUUACCAGGUCUUGACAUCUUCUGACAGUCUAAGAGAUUAGAGGUUCCCUUCGGGGACAGAAUGACAGGUGGUGCAUGGUUGUCGUCAGCUCGUGUCGUGAGAUGUUGGGUUAAGUCCCGCAACGAGCGCAACCCUUAUUACUAGUUGCCAGCAUUAAGUUGGGCACUCUAGUGAGACUGCCGGUGACAAACCGGAGGAAGGUGGGGACGACGUCAAAUCAUCAUGCCCCUUAUGACC
rnacentral:rRNA from 1 species